UGGGAUCGUUCUUUAGGAUAUUGAUUUUCCUUUCGUAUUUUUUAGGAACAAUGUUGGUCAGUUCACGCGUUUCUAUUAGCUUGUUAGAGAAAGAAAGGCAGCAAUUGCACGGACUGCAGUUGAGAGCUUCUGCCUUUAACUUUCCGCCGUGUCUCUCUAUCGAAAAGAAGCCGUCAGGAAAUGUGACGUAUUUUGGUAUCUGCCACGAUAUCGUUAGUUGGAUCGCGGAACAUUUUCAUAUGCAGUUGAUUUUCGUCCCGACAGAUAAUACGGAUAUAGUCCGACAUGGAAUAAUUCCUGCGCUCAUCAGCCAAAUUGUGAAAGGGGCAAGU